GUAAGGGCUAAAUGAGAUCAUAGACCCAGCACAGUAUCUGAUCCAUAAUAACUGCUGCAAAACAAUAGCAGCUAUUACUGCAAGGAGGGCAACGCCAACUUCACCCCGUCCCCAGGUGAUCCAGGCUUCUUCCAGAAACCUGCAGAAACGUCACGUCAGAGUUUUUAAUUCAUCGCCCAGUCUGGAUUAAUAAUGCCAUUGGUCUUCGAGAUUUUAACACUGGAGCAUAGAGGAGGUCAGUCUCUACUGACUGCUGAACAUCCAACACGUGACACCCAGGAGUUGUCUACCACCAUGUUUUGGACUAAGGGAAAAAAGCAGAGUCACUGAAAUUAAAGCCUGUAAGAAGCUGUCAGAUGAAAAAAUCUGUUUCUCCCUGUUGAGAGUUGAAUUGUAUUCCCCCCAAAUAGAUAUGUUCAAGUCCUAACCCCUGCUACCUGUAAAUGUGACCUUAUUUGGAAAUAGAGUCUUUGCAGAUGUAAUCAAGUUAAAAUGAGAUCAUACUGGAGUAGGUUGUCCCUAAAUCCAAUGAGUAGUGUCCUUAUAAGUGGAGAAGAAAAAAGAUACAGACACACAGGGGGAAUAUCAUGGGAAGAAAGAGGCAGAGAUUGGAGUGAUGCAGCUCCAAGCCAAGGAAUGCCAAGGAUUCUGGCAGCCACCAGAAGCCAGGAGAAGGCAUGGAACACAUUCUCCCUCUGAGCCCCAAGAAGGAGCCAGCCCUGCUGACACUUUGAUUUUGGACUCCCAGCCUCCAGAACUGUAAGAGAAUACAUUUCUCUUGUUUUAAGCCACUUAGUUUAUUGUGCUUUCUUGUGGCAGCCCUAGGAAGCUAAUACACUCCUUUGUUAAUACAGCAGAUCCUUGAAUAACAUCAUUUUGUGCAAGAUCGUUUCAUGAUAACAUUGAUGAGUCCAGGCAUGGUGGCUCAUGCCCGUAAUUCCAACACUCGGGGAGGCCAAGGCAGGAGGAUUGCUUGAGCCCAGGAGUUUG
rnacentral:lncRNA from 10 species